GGAGGGCUGCCGGAGCGGCCGAACGGGGCAGUCUUGAAAACUGCUGACUGGUCCUGCCAGUCCGUGGGUUCGAAUCCCACGCCCUCCG
rnacentral:tRNA from 1 species